rnacentral:rRNA from 1 species
GAUCAUGGCUCAGAUUGAACGCUGGCGGCAGGCCUAACACAUGCAAGUCGAGCGGGGUUUUCGGACCUAGCGGCGGACGGGUGAGUAAUGCGUAGGAAGCUGCCCGAUAGAGGGGGAUACCAGUUGGAAACGACUGUUAAUACCGCAUAAUGUCUACGGACCAAAGUGUGGGACCUUCGGGCCACAUGCUAUCGGAUGCGCCUACGUGGGAUUAGCUAGUUGGUGAGGUAAUGGCUCACCAAGG